UCAUGGUUAUUAACCCGGUUAUUACAUUUUGUUUAAUCGGUUAUUAAGCAUCGAGUGUUAAAUAUGCUAGUCCUUUCAUGAUUAUGUGAUAGGUGGUGCAUGGCCGUUCUUAGUUCGUGGAGUGAUCUGUCUGCUUAAUUGCGUUUCACUAAGGGCCCAUAAAUUCAAGGUAUGUUAGCUAUCGUCGCUCUAUGGACCCCUUAUACUCGAUUUCGCUUUAAUUAGCGUUAUUUGUUUAAUAAGCGCGCGUCUUUAUUUAAAGAGUUUAAGACACUGCGCAUG
rnacentral:rRNA from 1 species